AAAUUGAAGAGUUUGAUCAUGGCUCAGAUUGAACGCUGGCGGCAGGCCUAACACAUGCAAGUCGAACGGUAACAGGAAACAGCUUGCUGUUUCGCUGACGAGUGGCGGACGGGUGAGUAAUGUCUGGGAAACUGCCUGAUGGAGGGGGAUAACUACUG
rnacentral:rRNA from 2 species